AAGCUCGUAGUUGAAUUUCGGGGUUAGUAGGUUGGUCAUGCCUCUGGUAUGUACUGGUCCCACUGAUUCCUCCUUCCUUAUGAACCGUAAUGCCAUUAAUUUGGUGUUGCGGGGGAAUUUGGACUGUUACUUUGAAAAAAUUAGAGUGUUUAAAGCAAGCUAACGCUUGAAUACAUUAGCACGGAAUAAUGAAAUAGGACGUUCGAUCUUAUUUUGUUGGUUUCUAGGAUUGACGUAAUGAUUAAUAGGGAUAGUUGGG
rnacentral:rRNA from 1 species